rnacentral:rRNA from 1 species
AGUGAACGCUGGCGGCAGGCCUAACACAUGCAAGUCGAACGGCAGCACAGUAGGGGUUUGCUCCUACGUGGCGCGUGUCGGGCACGUGUGAGGUACAUCGCGGUCUCCACAUUUUUGUGGGGUAACACCUAGGGACCCUUACUCAUAUACCAUACAACACCUAGGUGUAAAAACAGGAUCUUCUCGGCUUUUGCGGGUUUGUAUGCCGAUGUCGGAUUAGCUAGUUGGCGGGGUAAAGGCCCACCAAGGCGACGAUCCGUAGCUGGUCUGAGAGGAUGAUCAGCCACACUGGGACUGAGACACGGUCCAGACUCCUACGGGAGGCAGCAGUGGGGAAUAUUGGACAAUGGGCGCAAGCCUGAUCCAGCCAUACCGCGUGUGUGAAGAAGGCCUUCGGGUUGUAAAGUACUUUUGUUGGGAAAGAAAAGCAGCAGGUUAAUACCCCGCUGUUCUGACGGUACCCAAAGAAUAAGCACCGGCUAACUUCGUG